GGUAUUUCUUAACCCUCUGCAUCGAGGGGAUAGUUGUGUGGUGGUAAUGUUGUGUGUGUAUUUCUUAACCCUCUGCAUCGAGGGGAGAGUUGUGUGGUGGUAAUGUUGUGUGGGUAUUUCUUAACCCUCUGCAUCGAGGGGAGAGUUGUGUGGUGGUAAUGUUGUGUGUGUGUUUGCAGCCAACAUGAAGAAAAGGAAAAGGCGCUAAAGGAGCGCAGAUGUCACACCUUGUUGUCCUCCUGCCAACCCUGCAGGUCAUCAGACACCCCUAACUCAUAUCUCCAUAUCUACAACUAAUUGCUGAACUCACAUGGAACUAAAUUAUACCCAUAAAUAAAAUUGACAGUGGGGAUAGGUUGUUAGUUAUUACCUGAACAGUUAAUUAUUCACCAGCCCUCCAGUGUGGUUGACCGCUGACCCUCACUGAUGCCCUCACCACGCUUCAUUCAGCCUCCCUCAGCUCAGCCAACAAGUUUAAGUGUCUGGACAUGGGAUAUAAACUGAGGCUGAGGAGGAUUGUGAAGCUCCCUCAUUGAAUGUGACCAGUGCAAGCAGCAAAAUUAGCACAUACUACAGGGGUGAAUUUCCUCACUGUCUGGAGCCCUUACUGCUGCUGGGACAGCGCCACCCAGCCUCCGUCACCGGGGCAACUAGUAUUGCAGCCCUAUCCUCCAGACUGAGAUCUAGAACAUGAAGGACCAGGUACAGGAGCUACACAGGGACCUGACCAAGCGCCACUCCCUCAUCAACACAGACACCAUGGGGGAGAUACUGGACCGCUCCCUGCACAUCGACAGACAGAUCAAUCAAAUUUAAAAUAAAAAAAGCUUUAAAACCCAGGUUGAAGGGACCACCCUCACCACCCCAACGGCAGCAACGUGCUUAGGCAAAGACACCUGGAUCCACGUAUCCCACUGUAAGCAAGUAGCAGAGCCAGAACAAGAUGCUACUCCUGUUACUCCUAGAAUCCAGUAGGAACACUCUGCUUACCCUGGGACUCGCAGAUAUUGUGGCUUUGGGCAUCCUCUGGGUGGUAGCAGACUUUGAGCCAGAGGCGGGAGAACGUGCUAGUAACCUCUCCCCGACCUCUUCAGUCCAACGAGACUGUGGAAGCCAAGAAGUAGUAGAUGACCCUGCUAGUAGAUGAGAAGUAGAUGACCCUGCUGACCUGAACCUGGACCCUGGUGACCCUGCUGAGCUGAAGAGAAGAAAAAGAGGACAUAAACAUUAUGGGGUUUCCCCCGGGUCAAACACUUUCUUACAGGUAACUAAUAAUGUUUCUGUGCUACAGAAUGUAUCAGAUUGUUGGGUUUGUGGACUGUUGACAGACAGUGCUGAGACUAUGCCAUUGCUAGCUAUACCCCUUAAUGCUUAUGUAAUAUUGAUGUGGACCAAAGCAGGUAACCUUUCAGAUUGAGAGCUUGAUUGGGUGGAGGGUGAGGUGUUUUUAUAUGAGAAGAUUUGAUUUUAAUAAUCACACCUCUCUGCCCAAGCAACCCAUCACCCUGGCAUACUCUCCCCCAGGUUAUUUGGGUUAUAUAGAAAAAGGAACUGGUCCCCAGUUGGGGGAAAGUAAUUGUAAGUAUAACCUUUCUGUAUACAAUAACCUUACCCUACCCUUACUGUUGAGAAAUGGAACAUUCCACCAUAACAUGUAAUUGAGAAUACAUUAUAGACUCAAGAAUGGCAGUGUGUAUGCUAAACAUACUUCCUCAGUAAGUGGAACUAUGUGUAUGUGUGUGGGGGGAAAGCCUACUCCUAUCUGGCUACAAACUGGUCAGGAUCAUGUUAUGCUGCCUAUGUUGUUCCUGCUGUGCGUGCUACCCCAGUACCCACAAAUCACAAUUUCUCCCACUUGUAUAGGAGGACCAUUGUAGCCGGCCCUACAAAACAGAUCCCUAUGAACCUUCCUUUUCGCCAGAUUGUUAUUAUAAAGUUACCUUUCAGAAGUUCCAUUCAGACCACCCCUUUCUGUGUAACAUGACAAUUUCCCAGAAACCAGAAGGUUUUAAGUUCUGUUUGACAACAGCUCAGAUAUAUCACAUAUCCAUGGCAUCAAAGGGGUAAUUGCUGUGGCAGAAGUGGAGUGAGCUGGGGUUAUGUCUUUGUUCCGUCUUUGUUCUCUGUUCUGUGUUAGACUGUGAUGAUACGCAUUUCAUAGACUCAUGUUAUCACUACACCCUAACAGAAGGCCAUUGUGUUCUGGAACUGUUGCUUGUAUAAAAUAACUGUUGUGUAAACAAUACGAUUGUAUAUAUAAAAAUAUGAUAGAUAUAAGGGACAUGUAACCACUUACUCUUCGAGAUCCCUGACUGCGAUCAGAGACGGAUCUGCCUUACAGCUGCCCGUAUGUUUGUAUUAAAUAUUUACUAUUAUAAUCAUAAAUUAGUCUCUGCAUAAUCUUUGGAUUUAGUUUUCUACAACAGCAUUCAUCAAGACCAUUGACUACCAUUGGCCAGGAAGGAAGACAGCCAGUCACACAACAGGGCAGAGACAGCAUGUGACCUCUUCUUCUGUUCAUAUAGCCGCUCCUGACAUCUAAUGGUGACAUUUCCUGGCAUAGAGGAGUUGUCAUCCCUUAGACAAACAGGUCUCAGAGGACUGCAGUAACACUGACACGCACUGGGCUCAAUCAGUCACUAACUGUACUCAAUGACUCACUAACUAGAGUAAAUGGACAAACUGAGAGGGGGGUGAAUCCCCUCCGAUCUCACUCCUCAACAUGAAAAGAUCAAUCUGAAGGACUCACCUCUCAGUAUGGACUGACUGGAUGAAGGAUCUGCAGUUUUAUGCUGAGGAAGUGACUGACUACCAUUUCUCAAUCAUCAAUGCAUGGUUCAGACAUACAAUAGCAUACAGAGGAAGAGUGCUUCCUUAGUCUAUAUUACUGAAAUUGUAAUAUGCUGUUACGCUGUGAGUUAUCCUGAAUGGGCAAGUCUGUCUGAUUGUAUGGUUCUAAAACCAAUUGUUGUAUUUGUAUCAUAUGAUCACUAGUUGUCAUGUACAUUACAUAAGGGAAUGUACCUAUCUGGUGAUGCUGGUCUUCAUCCUCAGGAGGUCAUAGAUAGUUCUGGUUUGACACCAACAAAUAGAACAGUCCAAAUGUAAAGUGCAGUCAUCUGUAUAAUGCCUUAAUGUGCAUGUAACCUGUGCAUUAAUCAUGGUGAAAUGAGGUGAGUAUUGACAGUAUGGUUUCCUUAAUUUACCCAAGAAUAAGUGGCAAAUUGGUGAAAUGUAUGUAAGGCACAGGCAGGCAUCCCUUCCCCCUUUCUCCUGCCACCUCUUCUCUCCCCCGGCCCCCCCUCUCUCCUUCUCUCUCCAUCCCUCUGAGGCACAGGCACAGCCUAGUAAAUGUAUUCCUUCGUGUUCCUCCCUGUCCUCUCCUCCAGCACAUUAGUAAAGUGUCAGCAGCAUGCUCCAGGGUUUUCCACCACCAGGAAAUCAGCAGGCUACUCUCUGCAUCUUUCUCUCUCUCUCUGUACCACCCUCUUUCCAUCCUUCUUUCUUAUUCUCCAUUCCCCCUGAAUCCUCUUUGUCCCUUUU